GCUCGCUUCAGCAGAACAUAUACUAAAAUUGGAAUGAUACAGAGGUGAUUAGCAUGGCCCCUGUGCAAGGAUAACAUGAAAGAAGAGCCUUGACCUCAUUGG